rnacentral:rRNA from 1 species
UACAGAGGUCUCAAGCGUUGUUCGGAUUCAUUGGGCGUAAAGGGUGCGUAGGCGGCGCGGUAAGUCGGGUGUGAAAUCUCGGAGCUUAACUCCGAAACUGCAUUCGAUACUGCCGUGCUUGAGGACUGGAGAGGAGACUGGAAUUUACGGUGUAGCGGUGAAAUGCGUAGAUAUCAGGAAGAACACCCGUGGCGAAGGCGGCUCUCUGGGACGGUACUGACGCUGAGACGCGAAAGCGUGGGAGCGAACAGGAUAGAU